GAGUUCCAAACCAAGAUACUGGAUUCUCCUAGUUAAGAUAAAGAACUUUGAGUGCUUAACAGUGAAAAUGUCACAAUCUGUAUUAAUAUUUCACAACUUGAAGGCAUGACAGUUAAAGAACACACAUGGACUUGUGGCUCAUGGAAAUGUAUGCACAGAAAAAGGAAACCUAUAAUUAUUUAAAAGUAGGAAGGCAUUCUUCCUCGCCAAAAUGGGUACCUUCUGCUCAGUUAUCAAGUUUGAAAAUCUCCAAGAAUUAAAGAGACUGUGUCACUGGGGUCCCAUCAUAGCCCUUGGUGUUAUAGCAAUAUGUUCUAUAAUGGCCAUGAUUAACUCUGUAUUGUGGUAUUGGCCCUUACAUACAACUGAAGGAAGUGGGAAUUUCAUCAUGCUGAUAAAUUGAACUGUCAUGAUUCUUUAUAAUUACUUCAAUGCCAUGUUUGUGAGUCCUGGCCUUGUCCCCCUGGAGUGGAAACCAGAAAAUUCUCAGGAUACUAUGUAUCUCCAGUAUUGUAAAGUCUGCCAGGCAUACAAGGCACCACGUUCACAUCACUGCAGAAAGUGUAACAGAUGUGUGAUGAAGAUGGACCAUCAUUGUCCUUGGAUCAACAACUGUUGUUACCAAAAUCAUGCUUCGUUUACACUGUUUCUUCUUUUAGCACCACUGGGUUGUAUCCAUGCUGCUUUUAUUUUUGUUAUGACUAUGUACACACAGCUUUAUAACCAGCCCUCCUUUGGGUGGAACACAGUAAGGAUUGAUAUGAAUGCAGCCCAGAGAGAUUCUCUUCCUGUUUUUCCAUUUGGAUUAGCUGCAUUUGCUGUCACCUUGUUUGCCUUGGGAUUAGCUUUAGGAACAACCAUAGCUGUUGGGAUGUUGUUUUUUAUCCAGAUGAAAAUAAUUCUUAGAAACAAAAUUUCUAUUGAAUCAUGGAUUGAAGAGAAGGCUAAAGAUCGAAUUCAAUAUUAUCAACUAGAUGAAGUCUUUGUUUUUCCUUAUGAUAUGGGAAGUAGAUGGAGAAACUUUAAACAGAUAUUUAUGUGGUCAGGGGUCCCUGAAGGGGAUGGACUAGAGUGGCCAAUAAGAGAAGGCUGUCACCAAUACAGCUUAACUAUAGAACAGUUAAAACAAAAAGCAGAUAAGAGAGUCAGAAGUGUUUGCUAUAAAGUAAUAGAAGAUUAUAGUGGUGACUGCUGUCCUUUGAAUAAAGGAAUCAAAACGUUCUUCACAAGUCCCUGUACUGAAGAACCUGAAAUAUAGUUACAAAAAAGGGGAGUUUAUUUUAGCCACAAGAGGUUUACGAUACUGGUUGUAUGGAGACAAAAUUCUUGAUGAUUCCUCUGUAGAAGAUAUUUCGAGAAUAAGAGGAUGGUUCCCUAGAAAUUGUGUGGAAAAGUGUCCCUGCGAUGUUGAAACAGAUCAAGCCCCGGAGGGUAAGAAGAAAAAUAGAUAG